UGCUAGUACUGAAUUGAGUCAAAAUUAUUGGUGGGUAGAAUUAAUUUGUAGAUUUCUUUCCCCAAUCCUGAUGUAGUGGAUGGGAUCAGACAUGCUAGUUUGGGGAAAAUCCUCUAGUACUUGAAAAAUAAACAGGGGGAAACUGAGAAAAAUAGGGGUACUGUUUAAAGCUUGUCACUCAUUGGAAUUCAUGCCUUCAGAAUUCAGAAUUUUGUGUUGCUCCCAGUACCUUGUUUAAGACGUGCCAUCGCGGUCCAGGAAGUAUAUAUAUAUAUGAUGCAGCAGGAACCGAGGUGGUUCUCGACGAUGAUGACUGACGAUUGACGACGGCGAAGGCUGGUUCGCAACACAUGGGGUACAAGCAUCAAAGCCAGAUGAAGAGGAAGCAUACCCUCUAUUGUAUACAUUGGACAUAGGGAAUCUGAUGUAAUAAAUUCCACUACCACUUACUUUAGCGGUGGUAAGAAAGAAGAAGAGGAGGAAUAUAUACCAGACAUGGACACUUAUGAAUACGUAGGGGAUAAUUUGGUAGGAAAAUCACAAUUCCCUAUCUUGGACAAGGCUAAGCAAAGCUGGCAAAGUUACUGAUUUGAGCUUUGCCUUUCUAUUCUUAUUACUGGUUGCUGCUGAGUUACCAUACUUUGUCACAGAAGAGCCUGAAGAUGACAACAUCCUUAGUACCAGAACAUAUGAUGUUUGGAUAACAAAAGCUCUUUUAUCUUGCCUACAGGAUUUGGUUAAUUUUUUUUUAGUAGGUAUGACGAAUACUACCAACUCCAGGUGUCUGGCUUACUGGAUAUGAUGAGUUUAUUUCAUGGAGUACAGCCUCAGCUCCUGUUUGUAAAGCAUCAGAUGCAUGAGGGAUAUGGCCUGCACCUGCCGCCAGGGCCUGACCUUCAUGCUCCCUGAUACUAAAUCCCCAUCCACCACUUUUGCUUCUCUCCCUAAAAGAGCCAUCAGUGUUAAUUUCGACCACCUCUUGUGCUGGUGUCUUCCAUUGUAACAGGCUCGUUCCCUUUUCAACUAGCUUCUUUUCAUGUGCUUUCUUGUAUUCAACUGACAGCCUUGAGAUUGUAAAGUUGAAAUAUUCAGUCGAUCUAAAAGGAUCUCCCUCCUCAGCUUUGUCCCUGUCUGACCACCAAAGCCACAUGGAGAUUGCAACUUUCAACUGCAGCUCCUUUUCUUGAUGAAGAAACUCAGAUGAGUUCCCUACUGUUAAUACAUUUUCCCAACUUUAUUCUGGUCUCCUAAUCCAUUUGAGCUGUUUGCCAUCUUUCUUUCACUGGCUUGCAUCUGAAGAAAAGGUGACCACCAUCCUCAUUUAGCCUUUGACACAUCGGGCAUACUGUAUGUGGUCAAUCUUCAUUCCUCUUCUGACAGGAUUUGUUCUGAGAGGGUAGGUUGUUGUGCGUUGGUCUCCAUAAGAAAUGGAUUAGCUUCCCUGGGCAUGCCGCUUUCCACAGCUGUUACCGAUUAACAGUGGUCUGGUUACCAGUGCCUGCAUUCUAUUAUCUGGACGUGAAAAGAGGAACGUAGGUUAUAACUUCAGAAUAUAGAAAGCUAGAUACAAACAGCUAGGGUAUAAAAGAACUGAUUAAGUCAAUGAGGCAUUAUUUCUUCUAUUUGAGCAAUUAUGUUUGAGGCUUUGAGCAUUAACUCUAUACUUGACUUGUUUGGCAUGAUUUGCUUUAUAAUACGCAGUAUCAAGUAAGAAAAUAAAUGCUCCCAUUGUGGCUUUUUAGGCGUGCACUAUACAAAACGAUACUAAAUGCAUUGUCUGUACAACAAUCAUUUACAAAAAGGCUUGAAUAGGAUCCAUAUGGAAUACCUUGGUUGCAUCAGCCGCAUCAUUGUUUGCAAAUGGCAUUCUGAUGCAAGAGCGAAUCUGAAGCAGGAUUAUACCGAAUGGCAGGGCAAUUCUCCUUUGGCAGGGAUGGCGAUAGCACUGCGCAUUGUCCAAUGCCUGCUACAUUGGCCUCCAUGCCAGAGGAGAACCGCACUGUGAUUCUCACCCUGAACACUCCCUGGCCAUCCUUGAUCUCUCGUUUCUUAUUUUUUCCAGAAACUCCAUUACUCUGCUGUAACUUGCCCUUCAUAUUCUUCUUUUGUGCUCACUCUGUUUCUUGCCUUGCAUCGCAUGUUUCUAUGGCAAUAUAUAGGGCCAAGAUGGGCAAGCAAAAUCUGGAUAUGCUGCUGGAUAUACUUCCAAAUCAGGACAAUGCUUUCAGGAGGUAUUCCUCUAACCCUACCUUUUUAAUUCCUACUCUCCCUUUGAGUUAAAUGGUAGAAAGAGAAUGCACCUUUUUCUCUUGGCCCCCUUGCUGGCAUAGGUCUAUUUUGCCAUUUUAUUCCCUGUCACUGUUGUUGGAAAAGAAGUUUGAUGCCAAAAUAAGCAUGUUCCACAGAUGAUACAUUUUGCAUUAGAGACCAAUCUUCGUCUAUUACAAACAGAAACUAAAUCCUCUACUGGGUUAUUUUAUACAAACUGGUAACCAUCUCUAUUAGGUUGGUCGGAUUAUCUUAUUAUGGUUUCUAUGACAUUUCUUGUAAUCUGGACAUCUGGUUACUGAAAUGCAAUUGGAGUUACUUAAAGUUCUCAUUGUAGCAAUGCAUUGCUGAUUGCUAUUGAUUGACUAAAUUUAUUUUUUUAAAAAAAAUUAAAUCUAGAAAGCAAUUCAUUGUACUGUAUCUUUCACAAAUUAUGUUGGAUGCAAAACUUGCAACUAUGAGUGUGUGCUGAGAGCCUGAGACAUAUAUAUUUACAUUGCUUGAGCUUGAAUAGAAGUGGCUAGGGUGCUAACCAGAAAUGACUUUGUGACCAUUGCAAAAAUGGGACUUGAGGUUGCGCCAAACUAGUCCUCAUUCUACUGGAAAAAAAAAAGCUCGGAAAUUGCAUACUUAAUGGGAAAAAUAUAAGCAAUGACUCACCAUCUUCUAUCAGCUCAACAUCUACUUCGCUAAUUAUACAUGCAUUGAAGGCACACAAUCCGAUUGUGUUCUAUUUGUUUAUGCCAUGAAGGUCCAUUGGUAUUAUGCUUUCUUGUGGAACAUACCCAUGGAUCUUCUCAUUUGGUGCUGUUCAAAGCUGCCUCAGUUGAAGAAUCCAGUAGGUAUUCCAUGAGCUUUGUAGAAAGGAUGCACCUCCAGCAAGUUGAGCUGCUGCGGGUGUCGAAAGGCCGCAUAACAUUUUAAUAUAUCUAAUCUUGGGUCCUACACCAAGAAAAUAUGCUUCCUUGUAUAUGGAAAAUAUUCUCGGUACCGCACCUGUCAAGCAAAGGAAGAGAAGAGAAGAUCUAGGGGAUAUGCUGAUGCCAGCUUCCAUGCCAUGAGCUAAAAUCUAGCAACAGUGCAAUGCAUAUAAAUACACUGGGUUGGUCGAACCUAGGAUGAAGCAAGGCAGUCAUCAGUUGGCUUCUUAGCUUGAUCCUGGCUAUCGAACAGUGAAUUCAGACAUCAUAAGGUGUUGCAGUUUUUGACGAGCUAGUUUGGGCAUUAUUUGACAGAGCCCCAAAUUCCAUGUGGUGCCGAAACACUUGGCUUCUAGUAAAAAUAUAUGAAGUUAGCUGUGUUCGGUGGCAGAUCUCCACCCGUGCCUGGCUGCCUUUGAACUUUGAAGAGCAUCUGCUCAGCAUGUGUCUGAAGUGCCACUGGAUCUUCCAACGGCCGCAUCACAUUGAAAAGUACCUCUCCUUUGGGCAUUUUGAUGCAUUUAUUUGUGACUGGAUACUCGGACCGGCAACUUUUUGUAGCUUCAAGAUAUUUCCAAAAGCAUUAAUGAAUUAUCAAAGGACAAUGCAAGUUUUUUUU